CGCACUGCGAAGCUCAGAAGAGUGUUUUCACAGCCAGAGUGGCUCCUGCGGGUCCCACCGCUGCAUGCAGACAGAGAACACGGUGCCUCCCCAAAGAGGAGCGUGUCCUCAGCCAUGCUGCUCAAACACCUCAGUGAGGACAUGGCACAGAGGAGCCCAACGCGUUCAGUUGCAUUCAGGCCCCUCAGCAUGGCUCUGGGGGAAGGAGGAGACGUGGCUGUGCUGCAGUGCGAGCAGUGCCCAAAGAUUUAGGUUAUGGGAAUGUUGGUUCCAGAGGCAGUGUGAUUCAUGCUGAAACCAUCCGGUGCCAUCUGAUGCACACGUCCACCCAAAGGUAGAGGCAGUGCUGUGCGCUGCGAGCUGCUCCACUCUGAGUUCUCAUUGCAGAACAACUACAACGGCAGAGAACAAGAAAUGGCUGCAUUCUGCCAAAGAGAUCUCUCAAAGCUCCAAGCCUUCCUCUGCGAUGCUCCACGCACUGAUAAUGAGCCGUGCUCGCUCAUCUCCCAUCAGGACUCAUAAUGUCAUACGAAAAUCCUCGUCGAAGAGAAACGGUUCAUCGCGGUUUGUCUGCAGUACAAAAGGUCGUUCUGCCUGAAUCGCCCGUCAGAACAUUUCCACGUAUGCACAGGUUGUCAGCGAAAAUGGUGAGCUGCUCCUCGGUGACAACCGGAGUGUUUCAUUCCCCACAGCCACCAAAAGGGGAGAUAUUUCCCACAGCUGCAGGUGUGGCACUGAGGCACGGUGCGGAUGGGUUGGGGCUGCCCUUGGUGAUCUGAGCGGCCUCUUCCAACCCUGGUGAUUCUCUGAUUCAGCCGUCCCCUGUGCAGAAGCACAAAGCCAAAGGGGGUUUCUUUCAGAGUCCUGAAGAAGAGUUCUGUGUGUCCCUCCAGAAACCCACCGUGCUGUGAAAGCCCCAGACGUGUGCUGAUGUCUGUAGGGCACACAGCAAUGUAUGGAGGGAGCUGCUGUAAGUGGGAAUGUAACCAAUGAUAUUAUGCUAUUUUCAAAGACAAUCCUUUGGCAUCAGCAGAUUAACCUUAAAAAUUCUGCCCUCUUGUUUUAAUCUCAUCCCACCCAUCAUACAGGCAAUGCUGGGUGGGUACCUGAAGCAAUAGGAGCACUCUGUGUCACAGAAUCAUAGAACCGUUCCAGUUGGACCUUUAAGGGCCAUCUGUCCCCCUCCCUGCAACACAGAGGGACACCCACAGCUCCUCACAUGCUCAGAUCCCAUCGCCUGACCUUGGGGCACCUCCAC
ensembl:lncRNA